rnacentral:rRNA from 1 species
CGACUUGGAGGUUGUGCCCUUGAGGCGUGGCUUCCGGAGCUAACGCGUCAAGUCGACCGCCUGGGGAGUACGGCCGCAAGGUUAAAACUCAAAUGAAUUGACGGGGGCCCGCACAAGCGGUGGAGCAUGUGGUUUAAUUCGAUGCAACGCGAAGAACCUUACCUGGCCUUGACAUCCAGAGAACUUAGCAGAGAUGCUUUGGUGCCUUCGGGAACUCUGAGACAGGUGCUGCAUGGCUGUCGUCAGCUCGUGUUGUGAAAUGUUGGGUUAAGUCCCGCAACGAGCACAACCCUUAUCCUUUGUUGCCAGCGGUCCGGCCGGGAACUCAAAGGAGACUGCCAGUGAUAAACUGGAGGAAGGUGGGGAUGACGUCAAGUCAUCAUGGCCCUUACGAGUAGGGCUACACACGUGCUACAAUGGCGCAUACAAAGAGAAGCGACCUCGCGAGAGCAAGCGGACCUCAUAAAGUGCGUCGUAGUCCGGAUUGGAGUCUGCAACUCGACUCCAUGAAGUCGGAAUCGCUAGUAAUCGUAGAUCAGAGUGCUACGGUGAAUACGUUCCCGGGCCUUGUACACACCGCCCGUCACACCAUGGGAGUGGGUUGCAAUAGAAGUGUAUAGCUUCGGUUAGUGAGGGCGCAAUCCACGUCAUAACUGCUGACUGGAGUGAAGUCGUAACAAGGUAAC